rnacentral:tRNA from 1 species
GGGGGCGUGGCUCAGCUGGGAGAGCACCUCGUUCGCAACGAGGGGGUCAGGGGUUCGAGUCCCCUCGUCUCCA